CAUUGCCGACCGCCACCGGGCUCCUGCUCCUCCCUAUCGGCUGUCACACUCAAGCUGCCUCCCGCCAUGCGCGUUCACCCCACCUUCCAUGUCUCUCGCCUUAAGCCAGUCUCCGUCUGCCCCCUCUCCCCCCCGGCCAUUCCCCCCCCUCCUCCCCGUUUGAUUGACGACCACCCUGCUUACACCGUCCGGCGGUUGCUGGACAUUCGUCGCCGGGGCAGGGGGUAUCAGUACCUCGUGGAUUGGGAGGGUUAUGGGCCUGAGGAAAGGAGCUGGGUUUCGCGGGGUCUCAUCCUCGACCCCUCCCUCAUCCGUGACUUCCAUCUGGCUCACCCUGAGAGGCCUAGGCCGCCUAGAGGCGUCCGUUGAGGGGAGGGUACUGUUGUGUUCACAGCAGUUUGCUUUGUUUUUUCCACCUCCUGGGUCUGCCACUCCUCCUGUCUGUCUCACUUCACACCUGGACCUAUUCUGCAAUCAUGCUCACCUGGUCUUCAUCUCCAAUCAACUCCCCUUCAUAAACCCUUGGAUUCCCUGCUGUCGGUGCCAGAUCGUACUACGCACUACUGUGUUAUCCGGAUCCCUCACUCCAGUUCGCCUGCUUCGCUCCUUCCCCGGCAACCUCAUCCAAUACCCGCCUCCUCGCCUCACUCAAUAAACCCUUUUUUCCUUCAACUCAACUUCGUCUCCGUCUGCUCUUGGGUUCAGCAUCGUUUGAACC
ensembl:lncRNA